AUGCAAGUCGAACGGUGAAGCUCCAGCUUGCUGGAGUGGAUCAGUGGCGAACGGGUGAGUAACACGUGAGCAACCUGCCCCGGACUCUGGGAUAAGCGCUGGAAACGGCGUCUAAUACUGGAUACGCCCCAGAACCGCAUGGUUACUGGGGGGAAAGAUUUUUUGGUCUGGGAUGGGCUCGCGGCCUAUCAGCUUGUUGGUGAGGUAAUGGCUCACCAAGGCGUCGACGGGUAGCCGGCCUGAGAGGGUGACCGGCCACACUGGGACUGAGACACGGCCCAGACUCCUACGGGAGGCAGCAGUGGGGAAUAUUGCACAAUGGGCGGAAGCCUGAUGCAGCAACGCCGCGUGAGGGACGACGGCCUUCGGGUUGUAAACCUCUUUUAGCAGGGAAGAAGCGAGAGUGACGGUACCUGCAGAAAAAGCGCCGGCUAACUACGUGCCAGCAGCCGCGGUAAUACGUAGGGCGCAAGCGUUAUCCGGAAUUAUUGGGCGUAAAGAGCUCGUAGGCGGUCUGUCGCGUCUGCUGUGAAAACCCGAGGCUCAACCUCGGGCCUGCAGUGGGUACGGGCAGACUAGAGUGCGGUAGGGGAGAUUGGAAUUCCUGGUGUAGCGGUGGAAUGCGCAGAUAUCAGGAGGAACACCGAUGGCGAAGGCAGAUCUCUGGGCCGUAACUGACGCUGAGGAGCGAAAGGGUGGGGAGCAAACAGGCUUAGAUACCCUGGUAGUCCACCCCGUAAACGUUGGGAACUAGUUGUGGGGGCCUUUCCACGGUCUCCGUGACGCAGCUAACGCAUUAAGUUCCCCGCCUGGGGAGUACGGCCGCAAGGCUAAAACUCAAAGGAAUUGACGGGGACCCGCACAAGCGGCGGAGCAUGCGGAUUAAUUCGAUGCAACGCGAAGAACCUUACCAAGGCUUGACAUAUAGAGGAAAGGGCUGGAAACAGUCCCCCCGCAAGGUCUCUAUACAGGUGGUGCAUGGUUGUCGUCAGCUCGUGUCGUGAGAUGUUGGGUUAAGUCCCGCAACGAGCGCAACCCUCGUUCUAUGUUGCCAGCACGUAAUGGUGGGAACUCAUGGGAUACUGCCGGGGUCAACUCGGAAGAAGGUUGGGGAUGACGUCAAAUCAUCAUGCCCCUUWUGUUUGGGCUUMMSSAUGCUACAUGGCCGGUACAAGGGCUGCAUUACCGKGAGGUGGACGAAUCCAAAARCCGGUCCCAGUUCGGAUUGAGGU
rnacentral:rRNA from 1 species